UAUAAAGGGCACACAAGUAGGCUAAUGUGAUCUCAAAUGAGACAGCAUGAUUUAUCCGGUUACUGCAGGAGAGGAUGGUGAAGAAGAGAGAAGAAGGGGAAAAGUUUGUGUUUAUUACUGAGUUAUAGAAUCAGUAAAUAACUUGGAGGAAGAGCGCAUCCAGUCUGAAGUGAGCCAGCUCUCAUGACAUCCGUCCGCGGCCAGUUACGGGACUUAAGGACAUUAUUCAGACAGCUCCAGCGGCUCCGAUCGGAGGUUUGGACCAGAUCAUUUACAAGAAGCUGGAUUACAAACUCUCUGCAAACCGCCCUGGUUUAACAUACUCAGGUCUGACAUGACUAUCUGCAAGGAGCAGCUGUUUAUGAGAUCGACUGGAUCGUACUGCGAAGGAGCUCUGCAGGUUGUCGAAAUAGACAUAAUGGAGAAUAUGACUGAGGUCACGCUAAGAAUAGCCCAUUGCCUGACCUCAGCUUCUCCAGCGAAGUCUGCAGCAUUAUCAGCUGAAAUAUCCACUGCUACAUGCUAACAACAAGAGACGUCUCUACAGAGGCAGCAGCGCACAGGACGACUGGCUUAGGGCAAGACAUCCGGAUCACGGCGGCUGUUGUCACCUACAAGCCACUUGCAAUCAUCCUGUA